GAUGGUAUGGCUCAGUGGUAGGGCACAUGCUUAGCACACAGGAGGUCCUGGGUUAAACUCCCAGUACUUCCA
rnacentral:tRNA from 1 species